CUGGGAAUUGUAGUUUUCCGAUGCUCUCCUCUAGCUAGGACUGCUUGUCCCAAGAUGCAGUUCCACACCCUGGGUUCCUUAGUUACUAUGUGCAAGUACUGGAUAUGGUGUUUGGAGAAAGGGCUUCAGGCUUAUCACAGUUUUACUUUAUUGCAAAAGCAGGUCACGACUUAAAGUUUCUCUGGUGAACAAGUGUGCGGAUUGUGACUUAUGUCAGUCCAAGAAAUAAAUAAACAUGCAGUUCUCCCUCCUAUCAUUAGUAGCAGUGACAAGGAAUUUUUGGAAAAUAUGCAAAGAUACAUAAUUACAGAAACGGAAAGAGUGGGCUGUAAUGAGGAAGGACCUGCUGAUGAGUAUUACAUCAUAUACCGCAAUGUUUUUGAUAAGGUAAUAGAAUAUGUCACUGCAUACAAAUCCAUUCUUACUUCAAUCAAAAAAGAAUAUGAUGCCUUUGUUGAGACAAUAAAGAAAGGCCGAAGGACUACAUUUUUUCUUCAUGGAAAACUUAAAGUUUUGGCAGCAGAGCCCACAGCUUUCGUGUAUCACAAGAGAAGAAUUACACAACUCGAAGCAAAGAUGAGAAUUAUUGAAAACAAUUCCUCAAAAAUCCAAUUGGAAAUAGAUCAGAUUAAACAGCUUAGGGAAGAGUAUUAUUCAAAAGAAACACCAUAUUGUACUUUCUCUAAAGAUCCAUCAACACGUAUUCCAGGCAUGACACUCCGAGAGUCCGUCAGUCUAGAUGCACUCACUAAGCACAUGAAAUAUCUUGAAAAAAAAUAUGAAGAAAUAAAGCAGGAUAUGUCAAUAAAAUAUAUACCAAUUCAGAGGAAGGUUGAUUUAGAUGAAGAAAUGAUUAUGCUACUAAAACGGCGAGAUAUAGCUGAAAAUCUGAACAAAGAAUUACAGUUUAGUCAUCAAAGACUGCAGAUCAUUUCCUAUGCAUUUUCUUUAUGGGUGAAAUCUGAUAUGAGCAGCUCCUUUCCAGACUUUGUAGAGCAAAUUCAGAAAACCAAAGAUUUGCAUGAUGACCAAGCCAUUGCUGAGCAACUACUUGAAGAUGAUCCAAGCCAGGCCAAAGAAGCAGAGAUUAUGCUUUACUACAUUGAAAGGCAAUUUUGGUGUUUUGUUUUGAUUUUUGACAGAGAGACAGAGCUCCCAUUUGCUGAUUUACUCCCCGGAUGCCUACAGUGGUUGAGACUAGGUCUGCAGCCAGGAACCAGGAACUCAAUCCAGGUCUCCCACCUGGGUGACAGGAACCCAAUCACUUGAGCCAUCAUCUGUUGCCUCCCAGACCCUGCGUUAACAGGAAGCUAGAGUCAGGAGCUGGAGCUGGGAGUUGAAUCCAGGCAAUCUGUUGUGGGACAUGGGCAUAUUAACUGCUAGGCUAAGCACCUACUCGGAAACAUAAAUAUUUUAAAAGCUUUGAUUUUCUGUGUUAAAUUAAUUAUAUUUCCAUUUAGUAACAUGAUGAAACAUAGUCUCUAGUUUUUGAAAAUGUUUAUCCAUUUGUUUUUAUUUAUUAUAAAGACUGAGUGGCAGAGGGAGAGAGAAAUCUUUCAUCCACUGGUUCAUUUAUGAGAUGCCCACAAUAGCCCAGGCUGAGCCAACCAUAGCUAGGAGCCUGGAACUCCAUCUGGGUCUCCCAUGAGGUUGACAGGGACUGAAGUACUUGAACCAUCAUGUGCUGUCUCCCAGAAUGCAUAUUAUUAGCAGGAACUGGAAUGGAAGUGGAAUAGCUGGGAGCAACUCAGGUACUCCACUAUGGGAUUUAGGUACACCAACUGGCCCCUUAACCUGCUGUGCCGCAAUGCCCACCCUUCUAGUUUUUAUAAUUUUUUUUUAUUUAUUUGACAGAGUUAGACAAUGAGAGAGAGAGACAGAAAGGUCUUCCUUCCAUUGGUUCACCCCCAAAAUGGCCACCACAGCUGGUGCUGCACCGAUCCGAAGCCAGGAGCCAGGUGCUUCCUCCUGGUCUCCCAUGCAGGUAUGGGGGCCCAAAUUCUUGGGCCAUCCUCCACUGCCUUCCCUGGCCACAGCAGAGAGCUAGACUGGAAGAGCAGCAACCGGGACUAGAACCCGGCGCCCAUAUGGGAUGCCAGCACUGCAGGUGGAGGAUUAGCCAAGUGAGCCAUGGCGCCAGCCCCUAGUUUUUAUAAUUUUAAAAUUCUAUUCUAAUAGAGAAGUUAGAAAAUAAACUACAGAGGUGUUUUUCCCCUAUGAAUUCUUUAUGAAAAGUAGUACUAGAUUGGUAGUCUAGGAGAUUUUUCAGAAGAGAUAAGAGGAUUGUAGUGUUGAUACAAGUUAUAUAUACACACACACACACACACACACACACACAUAUGUAUGUAUUUUUGCUGCCUGUUACAAAACCUUUUUUUUUUUUUGCCAGGCAGAGUGGACAGUGAGAGAGAGAGACACAGAGAGAAAGGUCUUCCUUUUCUGUUGAUUCACCCCCCAAUGGCCGCUGUGGCCGGUGCACCGUGCUAAUCUGAAGCCAGGAGCCAGGUGCUUCUCAUGGUCUCCCAUGCGGGUGCAGGGCCCAAGCAUUUGGGCCAUCCUCCACUGCACUCCCAGGCCACAGCAGAGAGCUGGCCUGGAAGAGGGGCAACCGGGACAGAAUCUGGCGCCCCGACCGGGACUAGAACCCGGUGUGCUGGCGCCGCAGGAGGAGGAUUAGCCUAUUGAACCGUAGCGCUAGCCACAAAACCUUUUUAAUAUGAGAUUUUUGUCUUUUAUUCUAAUGUUACUUGAGUAAGAACAAAGUAAAAAUAAACACAAAGAUGCCCUAUAAAUCAAUCACAGGGUUCCUCUUCAUCUGUGUUGAUAUUCUUUUUUGCUUGCAUACCUCUUUGAUGGUCUCUGUCUCUAACUUGUGAGUUAGAGUCACUGUGUCAUAAUCAAAUUGUUCAUCAAGUGAAAAGAUAACUUCAUUUCCAAGUAUCUCUUCCAUUUGCUUUUCUGUUAUUUUUAUGGUGGGUUUUGGCUUCACUUCAAGGGUGAGAGUCUGGUCCAGGGAAAGAUUAUAAGAAGGAACACUGGGACCAGUGCUGUGGCGCAGCAGGGCCUUAAGUGCUGCAUCCCAUAUGAGUGUUGGUUCAAGUCCCAUUUGCUCCACUUCUGACCCAGCUCCCUGCUGUUGCACCUGGGAGAACAGUGGAGGAUGCCCAAGUGCUUGGAUCCCUGUACUCCUGUAGGAGACUGGAGGAAGCUCCUGGCUUUUGGCUUGGCCUGGCCAGCCCUGGUGAUUAUGGCCAUUUGGAGAUUAACCCAUAGAUGGAAGAUCCCUUCUCUCCCCCCCCCCCUUCUCCCUGUGUAACUCUAACUUUCAAAUAAAUAAAUAAAGUUUUUUUUAAAAAAAGUAAAACCGGUACUUACCUCCUGUGCCACUGCUCUUGGAAGCGGCCGCAAAUUGUGGCUCAUGUGGUGCUUAAUCUUUUCAUCCAUGUCCAGGUUUUCUAAAUCUAGAAAGUUGUCUUCCCCUUUCCUGCUCAAUUCAGAUCACUUUGUUGGGAACUGUGAAGUUCUUGUCCUUCACCUGUUAUUAUCUGUUCUUCCCAACAUUGUGAUGGAAUACAAAGAAAGAUGGUUUAGUUCUGAGUUGGAGAUCAUUUGGUUCAUUUUGAGUAAAUUUUAUUGAGGUGAACAUCUUUUCUGAAGAAUUGGUUCCAUAUGUUCCUGUUUGGUCACAUUAUCCACUUUCGAAAGAUAAGUACAAAUGCGCAGAAAUUCUUCAUAUGUAUGCUCAUGACAAUUAAACUCAUCCAAGACUUCUUUUUCUUUUUGUAAGAUUUAUUUUUUGUUUGUUUAAAAGGCAGAGUUAUAGACAGAGGAGGAGAGACAGAGAGAUCUUCCAUCCACUGUUUCACUCCCCAAAUGGCCAGGACUGGGCCAGACCAAAACUAGGAGCCUAGGCCAGACCAAAAGUAGGAGCUUGGAACCUGAUGGGGCUUUCUUGUUUGGGUAGCAGGGACCCAAGAACUCAA